rnacentral:rRNA from 1 species
CGGGGGGGCGAAGCGUUGUUCGGAAUUACUGGGCGUAAAGGGCGCGUAGGCGGCCUGCUAAGUCACACGUGAAAUCCCUCGGCUCAACCGGGGAACUGCGUGUGAUACUGGCGGGCUUGAAUUCGGGAGAGGGAUGUGGAAUUCCAGGUGUAGCGGUGAAAUGCGUAGAUAUCUGGAGGAACACCGGUGGCGAAGGCGGCAUCCUGGACCGAGAUUGACGCUGAGGCGCGAAAGCUAGGGGAGCAAACGGGAUUAGAUACCCCGGUACGUCCUAGCCCUAAACGAUGAGUGCUUGGUGUGGCGGGUAUCGAUCCCUGCCGUGCCGAAGCUAACGCAUUAAGCACUCCGCCUGGGGAGUACGGUCGCAAGGCUG